AUUGAACGCUGGCGGCAUGCUUUACACAUGCAAGUCGAACAGCAGCGCGGGCUUCUGCCUGGCGGCGAGUAGCGAACGGGUGAGUAAUGCAUCGGAACGUACCCAGUAGUUGGGGAUAGCCCGGCGAAAGCCGGAUUAAUACCGCAUACGACCUGAGGUUGAAAGCGUGGGACCAAAAGGACACGCGCUAUUGGAGCUGCCUAUGUCGGAUUAGCUAGUUGGUUUGGUAAAGGCUUACCAAGGCAACGAUGCGUAGCUGGCCUGAGAGGGUGACCAGCCACACUGGAACUGAGACACGGUCCAGACUCCUACGGGAGGCAGCAGUAGGGAAUCUUCCGCAAUGGGCGAAAGCCUGACGGAGCAACGCCGCGUGAGUGAUGAAGGUCUUCGGAUCGUAAAACUCUUUUAUUAGGGAAGAACAAAUGUGUAAGUAUCUAUGCACGUCUUGACGGUACCUAAUCAGAAAGCCACGGCUAACUACGUG
rnacentral:rRNA from 1 species